GCGCAGGCGCAUUGCACUCUCGUCAGUUGCUAGCGUUCUUUUCUUGUUUUGGUCCUUUAGCCUCCGAUUCGGUGAUAAUGCAGAGGGGAAGAGUGGGUUCCAUGUGAAUGAAGCAGGAAUUUAGAGGUGACUGUUUGGGCAUCAGGUCCUUGAGAAGCGCCUGUCAGGCCAGGGCCUUUGGGUGUCUUGGGGAUGGAGAAGAGAGAAAAUUUGCAAAGAGGAAUUACGAUAGAUAGUUCUUUAAGCCUCUGCACAAGAGAUUAUUCUAGCUGAUGACAAAUUUUCUUUGUGCCUUCAAGAGCUGUUUCACAGGUCACCUGCUCUGCGAAGCCUUCUCUCCCUAUUAUUGGGAAUCCGUUUCCAGCGCUGCCAUGGAAAUUCUUACAGACCUGUGACAAAGCAGCCUUGUGAGUGCUUUGUGCUUGUCUCCAAGAACAACAACAUGCGUAGAGCUGGAGUAAGUGGAAGCUUAUAUAUGUCGUAUGCCCAAUUUGGCCAAAGCUGGAGAAAACGUCGUUUCGCACUGUCACAAAGGGAUUGGAAUCCAUUUUCCGAAAGUUAUAAAAGACCUCGCGAAAAACGGAGGAGAGCUCUAAAAACUGAACCCCUUGCCGUGUUAUUGCUUUAUGCAAUGCCGUGACUCGGAUUCGAACCGAGGUUGCUGCGGCCACAACGCAGAGUACUAACCACUAUACGAUCACGGCGAGCUACCGGGGAUCCAAGGGCAACGUUCUUCUUCCGAGACCUUGUGUGUUAAAUGCCACGCCCCUCGACGGGUCACUGACUUGUCAUGGCUUGUUCCCGCCCAGUCCCAGAUUCGCCGUUUUCUGAGCCUAAGCUGGAGCGUUUGUCUCCUCGCUUUCCUGAUUUCAGUUUCCACUCGUUCCUGGGCCGGAUUCCUCCUCUUCACUUCCAGGGAGGCUGCGCUGGGUCUUCCCCUUCCCGGCGUCACAAAGGAAGUUGUGCGGGGGAGGCGGAACUGAUUUUCCUUCUUGUAGAACUUAAAAGACAGACCCAUUCCGAACCAGAAUCUAUUCAGACAGCGUGGGCGCCGGCCGGAGCACGGUGGGUGUAAGAGGGAUCUAGGGCCACCGUUUGGUCGACUUUGGGGUCUCACAUCCCUAUAGGCUACGUCGGCCUGGCCUCACUGGAGUCCUUUAAGUUUGCAAAGCACUCCCAUAUCUUUUCUUUUAUGGUCCCUCAGGGUGACCUGCGGGGAUUUCGGCUGACCCGGGAGUUCACGGUGCCCGUACUCUGCCUCAGGGUCAGUACGAGGGCCAGUGGAACCUGAUCGACACUGGUCAAUUUGGGAAGAACGGUGGCCUUAUACAAGAGGACAAUACUUGACAGAGGUUGGCUCACGGCGUCCCGGUAGCUCGCCGUGAUCGUAUAGUGGUUAGUACUCUGCGUUGUGGCCGCAGCAACCUCGGUUCGAAUCCGAGUCACGGCAUUGUGGGAACAAUGGCACGGCAAGGGCGCUCAUUUUAGGUUUGGGAAGCUGCAUUCUUCUUUAUGAUUGCUCCGUGCCUCAUACUUGACUUUAGGCCAGAGCAAGUCGAAAUUAUACUAUGGAAAAAGAU